GACGAACGCUGGCGGCGUGCCUAAUACAUGCAAGUUGAGCGAUGAAGCUUGGUGCUUGCACCAAUUUGAAGAGCAGCGAACGGGUGAGUAACGCGUGGGGAAUCUGCCUUUGAGCGGGGGACAACAUUUGGAAACGAAUGCUAAUACCGCAUAACAACUUUAAACAUAAGUUUUAAGUUUGAAAGAUGCAAUUGCAUCACUCAAAGAUGAUCCCGCGUUGUAUUAGCUAGUUGGUGAGGUAAAGGCUCACCAAGGCGAUGAUACAUAGCCGACCUGAGAGGGUGAUCGGCCACAUUGGGACUGGGACACGGCCCAAACUCCUACGGGAGGCAGCAGUAGGGAAUCUUCGGCAAUGGACGAAAGUCUGACCGAGCAACGCCGCGUGAGUGAAGAAGGUUUUCGGAUCGUAAAACUCUGUUGGUAGAGAAGAACAUUGGUGAGAGUGGAAAGCUCAUCAAGUGACGGUAACUACCCAGAAAGGGACGGCUAACUACGUG
rnacentral:rRNA from 1 species